rnacentral:rRNA from 1 species
GGAAUAUUGGUCAAUGGGCGUAAGCCUGAACCAGCCAAGUAGCGUGCAGGAUGACGGCCCUAUGGGUUGUAAACUGCUUUUAUGCGGGGAUAAAGUGAGGGACGUGUCCCUUUUUGUAGGUACCGCAUGAAUAAGGACCGGCUAAUUCCGUGCCAGCCGCCGCGGUAAUACGGAAGGUCCGGGCGUUAUCCGGAUUUAUUGGGGUUAAAGGGAGCGCCGGCUGAUAUUUAAGCGUGACGUGAAAUGUAGCCGCUCAACGGCUGAACUGCGUCGCGAACUGGUAGUCUUGAGUGAGUUCGAAGUUGGCGGAAUUCGUGGUGUAGCGGUGAAAUGCUUAGAUAUCACGAAGAACUCCGAUUGCGAAGGCAGCCAACAAGGCCUUUACUGACGCUAAAGCUCGAAGGUGCGGGUAUCGAACA